GACGAACCGUGCGAACGUUGUUCGGAAUCACUGGGCCUAAAGGGCGCGUAGGCGGCUUUUCAAGUCAGGGGUGAAAUCCGGCAGCUCAACUGUCGAAGUGCCCUUGAUACUGAUGAGCUCGAGGGAGGUAGGGGUAUGUGGAACUUCCGGUGGAGCGGUGAAAUGCGUUGAUAUCGGAAGGAACGCCGGUGGCGAAGGCGGCAUCCUGGACCGACAUUGACGCUGAACGGCGAAAGCUAGGGGAGCAAACGGG
rnacentral:rRNA from 1 species